AUUGAACGCUGGCGGCAGGCCUAACACAUGCAAGUCGAGCGGAGCGGCGGACGGGCGAGUAAUGCCUAGGAAUCUGCCUGGCCGUGGGGGAUAACGUCCGGAACCGGGAGCUAAUCCCGCAUCCUAUCAGCUGAGCCUAGGUCGGAUUAGCUAGUUGGUGGGGUAAAGGCCUACCAAGGCGACGAUCCGUAGCUGGUCUGAGAGGAUGAUCAGCCACACUGGAACUGAGACACGGUCCAGACUCCUACGGGAGGCAGCAGUGGGGAAUAUUGGACAAUGGGCGAAAGCCUGAUCCAGCCAUGCCGCGUGUGUGAAGAAGGUCUUCGGAUUGUAAAGCACUUUAAGUUGGGAGGCGGUACCAACAGAAUAAGCACCGGCUAACUUCGUGCCAGCAGCCGCGGUAAUUC
rnacentral:rRNA from 1 species